rnacentral:lncRNA from 7 species
AGCUCUGGUAUCCCUGCCGUCCAGUCAGCAGUCAAAUCCUCCAUCUUCUGGAGACAUGCCCUUGGAGCACUUAAGCCUCUCAGCAUCUCCAUACAGAAGCAAGGUAGACCCUCACAUCUCCUGGGAAAUGAAGGACUAGAGAGACACCUUCAUUCAGCCUGGAGGCACAGGGAAAGCCAGCAGAGCCACGAGGAAGGAGCUGAAGAAAUGGUAAGAAAAAGAAAGCAAGAAAAUGAGCUGAUGUGAACUGGUGCUGCUGAAAACACUACCCGGAUUCAUCCGAUGAGGCAUGCUUCCUUGCUCCUGUCACAACAUGAGCUGUCUUGUGAGCCUCACGUUGGGCUCAGAAAUUACUCAUCAGAUAUGGAAAUGAGCCCUCUGAGGAACUAGUCAGUGAGAACAAUCACAAAGUCUUCGCUUCUGAACAAACAGAAAGAGUUUGGGUUUGGGGACAUGCUUUGGGGAUACCAAACUAUCUACAGUUGGGGGCUCUACUUUACGGAUCCAUUUCUCUUCAAAUGUUUGUUAGAAAGACACAGUGCUCCUUCCUUGGAAAACAAGAAUAACUUCAGAGG